AGGGAAUAUUGCAAAAUGGGCGAAAGCCCGAUGCAGCAACGCCGCGUGGGCGAUGAAGGCCUUCGGGUCGUAAAGCCCUUUUUGAGGGGAUGAGGAAGGACAGUACCCUCAGAAUAAGCCUCGGCUAACUACGUGCCAGCAGCCGCGGUAAAACGUAGGAGGCGAGCGUUAUCCGGAUUUACUGGGCGUAAAGCGCGUGCAGGCGGAUUGGAGAGUUGGAUGUGAAAGCUCCCGGCUUAACUGGGAGGGUGCGCCGAAGACUGGGAAGCUGGAGUGUGGGAAAGGCAGGCGGAAUUCCUGGUGUAGCGGUGAAAUGCGUAGAUAUCAGGAGGAACACCGGCGGUGUAGACGGCUUGCUAGACCAUAACUGACGCUGAGGCACGAAAGCGUGGGUAGCAAACA
rnacentral:rRNA from 1 species